rnacentral:rRNA from 1 species
CCUACGGGAGGCUGCAGUGGGGAAUAUUGCACAAUGGGGGAAACCCUGAUGCAGCAACGCCGCGUGAGUGAAGAAGUAUUUCGGUAUGUAAAGCUCUAUUAGCAGGGAAGAAGAUGACGGUACCUGAGUAAGAAGCCCCGGCUAACUACGUGCCAGCAGCCGCGGUAAAACGUAGGGGGCAAGCGUUACCCGGAUUUAUGGGGGGGAAGGGGGGGGUAGAGGGUGAGACAAGUCUGAAGUGAAAGCCCGGGGCGCAACCCCGGGACUGCUUUGGAAACUGCCUGACUGGAGUGCUGGAGAGGCAAGCGGAAUUCCUAGUGUAGCGGUGAAAUGCGUAGAUAUUAGGAAGAACACCAGUGGCGAAGGCGGCUUGCUGGACAGUGACUGACGUUGAGGCUCGAAAGCGUGGGGAGCAAACAGGAUUAGAUACCCCAGUAGUC